rnacentral:rRNA from 1 species
CAAGUCGAACGAACUUCCGUUAAUUGAUUAUGAGGUGCUUGCACUGAAUGAGAUUUUAACACGAAGUGAGUGGCGGACGGGUGAGUAACACGUGGGUAACCUGCCCAGAAGCAGGGGAUAACACCUGGAAACAGAUGCUAAUACCGUAUAACAGAGAAAACCGCCUGGUUUUCUUUUAAAAGAUGGCUCUGCUAUCACUUCUGGAUGGACCCGCGGCGCAUUAGCUAGUUGGUGAGGUAACGGCUCACCAAGGCGAUGAUGCGUAGCCGACCUGAGAGGGUAAUCGGCCACAUUGGGACUGAGACACGGCCCAGACUCCUACGGGAGGCAGCAGUAGGGAAUCUUCCACAAUGGACGCAAGUCUGAUGGAGCAACGCCGCGUGAGUGAAGAAGGGUUUCGGCUCGUAAAGCUCUGUUGUUAAAGAAGAACGUGGGUGAGAGUAACUGUUCACCCAGUGACGGUAUUUAACCAGAAAGCCACGGCUAACUACGUGCCAGCAGCCGCGGUAAUACGUAGGUGGCAAGCGUUAUCCGGAUUUAUUGGGCGUAAAGCGAGCGCAGGCGGUCUUUUAAGUCUAAUGUGAAAGCCUUCGGCUCAACCGAAGAAGUGCAUUGGAAACUGGGAGACUUGAGUGCAGAAGAGGACAGUGGAACUCCAUGUGUAGCGGUGAAAUGCGUAGAUAUAUGGAAGAACACCAGUGGCGAAGGCGGCUGUCUGGUCUGUAACUGACGCUGAGGCUCGAAAGCAUGGGUAGCGAACAGGAUUAGAUACCCUGGUAGUCCAUGCCGUAAACGAUGAUUACUAAGUGUUGGAGGGUUUCCGCCCUUCAGUGCUGCAGCUAACGCAUUAAGUAAUCCGCCUGGGGAGUACGACCGCAAGGUUGAAACUCAAAAGAAUUGACGGGGGCCCGCACAAGCGGUGGAGCAUGUGGUUUAAUUCGAAGCUACGCGAAGAACCUUACCAGGUCUUGACAUCUUCUGCCAACCUAAGAGAUUAGGCGUUCCCUUCGGGGACAGAAUGACAGGUGGUGCAUGGUUGUCGUCAGCUCGUGUCGUGAGAUGUUGGGUUAAGUCCCGCAACGAGCGCAACCCUUAUUACUAGUUGCCAGCAUUCAGUUGGGCACUCUAGUGAGACUGCCGGUGACAAACCGGAGGAAGGUGGGGACGACGUCAAAUCAUCAUGCCCCUUAUGACCUGGGCUACACACGUGCUACAAUGGAUGGUACAACGAGUCGCGAAACCGCGAGGUUUAGCUAAUCUCUUAAAACCAUUCUCAGUUCGGACUGUAGGCUGCAACUCGCCUACACGAAGUCGGAAUCGCUAGUAAUCGCGGAUCAGCAUGCCGCGGUGAAUACGUUCCCGGGCCUUGUACACACCGCCCGUCACACCAUGAGAGUUUGUAACACCCAAAGCCGGUGGGGUAACCUUUU